AUGCGUCCAUUGAAUCGAUGC
rnacentral:siRNA from 1 species